rnacentral:rRNA from 1 species
UAUAUUUAAAGUCGAGCCUGCCCACUGAGAUUUUUUAAAUGGCCGCAGUAUCUUAACUGUGCAAAGGUAGCAUAAUCAUUAGUCUUUUAAUUGAAGGCUGGUAUGAAUGGUUGGAUGAAAUAUUAACUGUUUCAUAUAAAUUUAUAAUAGAAUUUUAUUUUUUAGUUAAAAAGCUAAAAUAAUUUUAAAAGACGAGAAGACCCUAUAAAUCUUUAUAUAUAAAUUAUUUUAAUUAUAUAGAUAAAUUAAAUUAUUAUAAAUUUAUAUAUUUUAUUGGGGUGAUAUUAAAAUUUGUUAAACUUUUAAUUUAUAAUAAACAUAAAUUAAUGAAUUAUUGAUCCAUUAUUAAUGAUUAAGAAAUCAAGUUACUUUAGGGAUAACAGCGUAAUUUUUUUAGAGAGUUCAUAUUGAUAAAAAAGAUUGCGACCUCGAUGUUGGAUUAAGAUACAGUUUUAGGUGCAGCAGCUUAAACUUAAAGUCUGUUCGACUUUUAAAUUCUUACGUGAUCUGAUUUCAGACCGGAUG